rnacentral:tRNA from 1 species
GUGCUUAUAGCUCAGUGGUAGAGUGCCUGCCUAGCAUGCUCAAGGUCCUGGGUUCAAUCCCCAGUACUUACA